ensembl:snRNA U4 U4 spliceosomal RNA
AGCUUUGUGCAGUGGCAGUAUCAUAGCCAAUGAGGUUUAUCUGAGGCCUGAUUAUUGCUACAUGAAAACUUUUCCCAGUACCCCGCCAUGACGACUUGAAAUAUAGUGGGCAUUGGCAAUUUUUGAUGGUCUUUACAGAGA